rnacentral:rRNA from 1 species
CAGUAGCCACGGUAAUACGAAGGGGGCUAGCGUUGUUCGGAUUUACUGGGCGUAAAGGGCGCGUAGGCGGACUGAUAAGUCAGGGGUGAAAUCCCAAGGCUCAACCUUGGAACUGCCUUUGAUACUGUUUGUCUUGAGUUCGAGAGAGGUAAGUGGAACUGCGAGUGUAGAGGUGAAAUUCGUAGAUAUUCGCAAGAACACCAGUGGCGAAGGCGGCUUACUGGCUCGAAACUGACGCUGAGGCGCGAAAGCGUGGGGAGCAAACAGGAUUAGAUACCCCGGUAGUCCCUGUCUCUUAUAU